UGCAUAUCAAAAAGCGGAGGAAAAGAAACCAACAGGGAUUGCCUUAGUAGCGGCGAGUGAAGCGGCAAAAGCUCAAAUUUGAAAUCUGGCUCUUUCAGAGUCCGAGUUGUAAUUUGAAGAAGGUAUCUUUGGGUCUGGCUCUUGUCUAUGUUUCUUGGAACAGAACGUCACAGAGGGUGAGAAUCCCGUGCGAUGAGAUGAUCCAGGCCUAUGUAAAGUUCCUUCGAAGAGUCGAGUUGUUUGGGAAUGCAGCUCUAAGUGGGUGGUAAAUUCCAUCUAAAGCUAAAUAUUGGCGAGAGACCGAUAGCGAACAAGUACAGUGAUGGAAAGAUGAAAAGAACUUUGAAAAGAGAGUGAAAAAGUACGUGAAAUUGUUGAAAGGGAAGGGCUUGAGAUCAGACUUGGUAUUUUGUAUGUUACUUCUUCGGGGGUGGCCUCUACAGUUUAUCGGGCCAGCAUCAGUUUGGGCGGUAGGAGAAUUGCGUUGGAAUGUGGCACGGCUUCGGUUGUGUGUUAUAGCCUUCGUCGAUACUGCCAGCCUAGACUGAGGACUGCGGUUUAUACCUAGGAUGUUGGCAUAAUGAUCUUAAGUCGCCCGUCUUGAACC
rnacentral:rRNA from 1 species